GUUCAGGCCAGUUCCUUCUAAGCCUCAGUGUGACAGUCCAUCUUCCUUUUGUUGCAGGAACUGCCUUAUGGUCAUCACUCCUUUCUUCCUCAUAACGUCAGAAAGGAAGACCUCUGGGACCAAAAUGUGGGAUCUAUGGAGACCUGUAGUUUGCUCCUUAGACACGGCCUGUGAAUUUCACCCAAAGAAUGUACCAUUGCUUCAUGGGACAGGCUAUGUCCAGGAGCUAGACUAUGAGAAGUCCCUAACUUCAGGGGCUGGGAAGGACAUUUUUGUGGGAUCAGACAAGGUAAAUGACACAUUCUCAGAGAAACGUGCCCGCCUUCGUGAGGGGGUGACAUCCCAGGACUGACGCGUGAGAACGGGCAGACAGGUUGGUGGAGGGAAACAGCUGAACGCAUGCUGCACAGUCUCUUUCUCCGACUCUGCCUUUUAUUUCCUUUUGUGUGUGAGAUGAGAUUUUAGUUGGGUUCAUGAAGGAAAGACAGGACAUUCUGACAGAAUGCUCCAUCGUAGAAUUCCUACUCAGUGGCUAGGAUUCUGGGCAGGAUUCUGUUGAUUUCUUUGGUUUUCACCCAGUUCUUGACUUGGUGGAAAAGCGAAUCCCUGGUCUAGAUUCACUGUCUAUUCUGCCCAGGGCCUCUCUUCCCAGGAAAUGGAACUGUG
ensembl:lncRNA